GCAGGAUACAGGGCACACUCUGAUAUUGACGAACAGAUUAUAUUUGGGUUGGGGAUUCCACUUCCCGAAGUGAUUCCAGCCUUCCCUGAGCACAGGAAAUGGCACAAAUGACGACUGGAAAGAUAGUUGAAGCUCAUCUCAUUCCCUCUGGAGCAGCUAUGAAGGGCCAAGUCAGCUUCCUCUAAUUGUCAUGCUCACUUAAAAACCUGGAGGAGAGCAGCAAAGCUCAGGGUGCCACCCAUAUCCCCUGGCCCUCAUCAUCCUCUGUGUGCUGAUUGUAGGCAUCCAUGCCUUUCUUUCUGAGUGCUUUCUCUGGCAAUGGAAAGAGAGCUCAGCUUAUAAAAAUGCAGAAAGAAGACAUCUACCAAAAAAGGCUCCUGUUGGCUAACUGAGGUCAAAUUUAAAAAUGGAGCCUAGCAGCCACUGCUACAGAGGGGUUUCUCGUGCACUUCAGAGAGAAGCCUGCACCACGCUGCCUGCUCCCUGCACUGAGCUAACUGCCUACCUGCACUGUAUUUCUACUGUCUGAGCCAGCCUUUAUAAAGAAGUUCCUGGAAUUUUAUUUUAACUGAUAGGACUGAUUGAUUUUUCCUGUCUGAUUAGAGCUGCACAGCUAUAACCUAUCUGCAUAUUCGCCAAACAAUGUGGUUCCAUUUUGACAAUCAGGACAGUGCCUUUUGGACCAAUCAAACUGUGAGGAUUCAGAGCCCUCACUUGCAUGAGGAUCGACCAGGGGUGGGAACUUGUCUUUGUAUAAGUCAGAGCCUCUCUUUCUCAGAGAGCACACUUUCCCUUUCUACUGAAGACUGAGGGCCGUGCUACCCUGGUUAGAGCUGAAUCACCAGAGACAUCUUGCCAGAGAGGGACAGAGCAGACCAGAGCAGACUAGAGCAGGCCAAAGCAGAGCAGGCAGAGAGGACCAGAGCACAGCUGUUAGCUGGAGAGGGGCCUUGCCCCAGGUCCUCCUCACAGCCUCACAGCUGAGCUGUUCCACAGCCAUGCUGCUUCAUAAUUGAGUGGACACACCCUGAGUUGUUCUGCAACUCACAAUUUAGCUGUUUGCAUGGAAUGAAGUUUUGUUCUUCACUGCACCCCAAUUUGAGGGUUCCUUUUAAUGUUGAAU